UGAAAAAUGGUUUAUUUAUUUAUUUAUUUAAACAUUUAUUUAUACCAGCCAGGACAUUGGUAUUGUAAAUCUUAAAAUUAAAAUUAAAAUUAAAAUUACUAUAGCAUUAUAGUAAAUCUUUAAAAAAAUUUUUUAUUAUACUUUAAAUUCUGGGAUACAUGUGCAGAACUUGCAGGUUUGUUAUGUAGGUAUACAUGUGCCAUGGUGGUUUGCUGCACCCAUCAUCCCAUCAUUUUCAUUAGGUAUUUCUCCUAAUGGUAUUCCUCCCCUUGCCCCCCACCCCCUGACAGACCCCCUUGUGUGAUAUUCCCCUCCGUGUGCCCAUAUGUUCUCAUUGUUCAACUCCCACUUAUGAGUGAGAACAUGCAGUGUUUGGUUUUCUGUUCCUGUGUUAGUUUGCUGAGAAUGAUGGUUUCCGGCUUCGUCCAUGUCCAUGUAAAGGAUAUGAACUCAUUCUUUUUUAUGGCUGCAUAGUAUUCCAUGGUGUAUAUGUGCCACAUUUUCUUUAUCCAGUCUAUCAUUGAUGGGCAUUUGGGUUGGUUCCAACUCUUUGCUAUGUCUUUGGUAGCUUGAUGGGAAUAGCGUUGAAUCUAUAAAUUACUUUGGGCNNNNNNNNNNUGCUUGUUUUGUCAGGUUGUCAAAGAUCAGAUGGUUGUAGAUGUGUGGCAUUACUUCUGAGGCCUUUGUUCUGUUCCGUUGGUCUAUAUAUCUGUUUUGGUACCAGUACCUUCCUGUUUUGGUUACUGUAGCCUUGUAGUAUAGUUUGAAGUCAGGUAGUGUGAUGCCUCCAGCUUUGUUCUUUUUGCUUAGGAUUGUCUUGGCUAUAUGGGCUCUUU
rnacentral:lncRNA from 1 species